rnacentral:snRNA from 1 species
AUCGCAAAUUAGGUUUAGAAGUUU